rnacentral:rRNA from 1 species
UACGUAGGGAGCAAGCGUUGUUCGGAUUUACUGGGCGUAAAGGGCGCGUAGGCGGCGUGUUAAGUCAGCUGUGAAAUCUCCAAGCUCAACUUGGAACGGCCAGCUGAUACUGAUGUGCUAGAGUGCAGAAGGGGCAAUCGGAAUUCUUGGUGUAGCGGUGAAAUGCGUAGAUAUCAAGAGGAACACCUGAGGUGAAGACGGGUUGCUGGGCUGACACUGACGCUGAGGCGCGAAAGCCGGGGGAGCAAACGGG